GACGGAGGAUGCAAGCGUUAUCCGGAAUGAUUGGGCGUAAAGCGUCCGCAGGUGGCAGUUCAAGUCUGCUGUCAAAGACCGGGGCUUAACUUCGGAAAGGCAGUGGAAACUGAACAGCUAGAGUAUGGUAGGGGCAGAGGGAAUUCCUGGUGUAGCGGUGAAAUGCGUAGAGAUCAGGAAGAACACCGAUGGCGAAGGCAGCUCGCUGGGACGGUACUGACGCUGAGGCGCGAAAGCGUGGGGAGCGAACAGG
rnacentral:rRNA from 1 species